GGUGAACUGCGGAGGGACAUUA
rnacentral:rRNA from 1 species